AAAAGCCCCUACCCUGCUGCUUGGGACGGGUAGGGAAAGGCAAAGGUUGGCUUUGGGUUUGGUCAUUCAGCAGGGAGGGGCAAGGCUCCUCCGGACAAUGCUCCUACAACUCAGGAAGGAGGGACUGCGGCGCAGAGAAACAGGUGGCAGUGUGUAAUUUUUAGGGCGGACUCUUCAUCCCCCAAAUGCCUUCGGGGGAUAUUGGAUCGUUUGUAGCCUAGAGAAGCAUAGUUACAGACUGGGCUGGUGCACUCUGUUUCAGUUGGGUCGCUGUGAGAAGGAGAGCCAUUCAGAGAUCUAUUUAAAGCCAAGCGGAGUGUUUACACACAUCACGGAAGAGGUCAGGCAGGCAGAUGCUGAGCUACUCGGAUUACAGAAGCAGAGGUGUCUCUACACCACACAGACCCAUUCUGCUCAAUGUCCCUAAGGUGUCCCCAGGAGGCAUCCCAACUCACAGAACUCUGCUUCUUUGAUGACUGGGAUAAAAACACCAACUCCCACUCAAAUGGACAAUCGUUUAUUUCUGCUCAGCAUGGGUCAAUGUUAAUUGUUCAGAAUUUCCUUCCGUGGUAGCUCCGACGGCUUGGGCCAUCUGGUGGGACAUCCCACGUUCGCACUUGUGGCUUUCCUAGACACUCAGCUCACCCGGGGGCCUCUCUCCGGACCACGGAAGAGGACAAGGCUUCCAUCUAAAAUGCCUUACUCAGAGGCGACUUGAACGACGGCUUUCAUUUUCAAAUAAGGAAAUGCCAGAGUUCCUCCUACCACAUGCUUCCACACACGACAGCAACAGAAUGCUUUCCCAACAAUCACGAGAGUCAUUAUAAGCCAGGAACUGAAGUGAUUCACACAGGGAGCCAAGGGGUGUGGAAAGGUGAUGUUUACCUCGAAGCGCGGGGGGAGGAGUCGCAGGCCAUGGCUAAGUUGGUAAAGGAUUUGUGCAGGUUAUUAAAAAAAAAGAAAAAAGAAAAAGAUUUCAUUGCAGCGGGUUUUCUCCCCCUGAGAGGAAUAAGUGUAUAUAAUUUUAAGAUGGCAAUGUGCGUGCGUUGAAUGGGGCAUCCUGCAGGGUUUUGUCCUGGCAACAGUGAUCUUGUUUGCGCCUGCGGGUUAGAGUGUUUGCGAGCUGAGAGCUUGGGUGGGAAGCGGAAGUCUCCGGGCUCCGAAGGACUGGGAGGGCUUCAGCAAACACGUGACUCUGCGUGUCAGGCCAGCAGCUGUGCUGGAACAGGCGAGAACUAGACAAAAAGAAAAAGAAAAGAAAAGGCCCCAGAAAGGGGAUUGUAGUUGGUGUUCUACAUGAAAGAAAACCAAACAAACGAGCUGGUGCUGGGAAGACACCUGAGAUCCAGUGGAUAGGUGGACAGGCAAAUUGGCUUUUCUUCUGUCUAAUUCAAGAGCUGCUUGCCCUUUGAAACUCUCCAGGCCUUUACUGAGAGGCUUACUACCCUGUACAAAUAUCCCGCUGUAUGGAGGAUGGGACAUCCAUGUCUCUUCACAAGCUCCCCCAGAGCCCACACACCUUGGAUGUGGGAAGUUUCCAUUCGCUGAUCAGCCACUUAAGACUGGAACCGGCUCAGAGCCGAGAGAGUAUUUGAACACCCGGAAGAAGCAAAGAACGCUGUCCGGACUGCUGCAGACAACGGCGAGUGCAGAUGUGUUCAUCAGGACAAAUGCUGCUGCAGGCACUGGGGGUGGCUUAAAGGUUAAGAGGAUUUGCUGGACCGUCAGGAGGAGCAGAGUUUGGACCUGAGCACACUUGUGACAAGCUGGGCGUCCUGCACAUACCUGUAACCCAAACUCUUAAUGGCAGCAGAGACUGGAGGUGUAGAAGAGACUGCCUCAAAGAAAUAGUCAGGGAAGAGGAGGGAGGGACCCUCAACUCCCGCUUCAGGCCUCCGAGCGUGUGCAGAAACACUCACAGGCUCAUGUUUAUAUUCCCAGACACAAACAAACACGUGAAUAACUGGAUAAAUAUGUCAUAAGUAUGUACACCACAUGUCUGCCUGGUAAUCAGGAAGGUUAGAGGAGGAAUCAGAGCUCCUGGAACUGCAGUUAGACAGCCCAGCAGGUGCUGGGAACAGCACUCAGGUUCUCUGCAAUAGAAUGCGAUCCAUAGCUGAGCCAUCCCUCUAGCCCUUUAGGUACACUGUUACUGAUUCUUGGAGAAUUUUACGCAGUGUAUCUUGAUCAUGUGCACCCCAGCUUCUCCCCUCUACUCUUCCCUGACUGCCCCCUUCCCUAAACCCUCAAAUUCAUGUACUCUUUUUACUGAAGUUUGUCCUCUCUGAAUACUUUGGGGGGAAAUGGGGAGUCAUCCACUGGAGUGUGGUCGCCCUACCUGGAGCCACAUCCUUAAAGAAAACGGAGCAUCCCUCCCCUAGAAACCACCAACUUGCAAAUGGUAUUUUUAAAAUGUUACUUAAUAAUUAUUAAUUAUUAAUAUGACCGAGGAAGCCCCCAAUAACCAAGGCAGAGACCUGAGGAUGUUUAAAUCAGUUUUAGCACAGUCGUUGGGCGAAGGACCCCUAACAUAUUUUUCUAUACACUAGACCUGUUAAUUGUCCAGCUAUGCUCCCCAAGUACUUGUUUGACUCGCACCUAGAUCACUGCUGCUCCAUCAGCCUGGCCACAGGUUCCUGGUUCAUCAGGUCUAAUGGAGACCACUGGUCCCCUCCUUCUUCUUUCACCUUUUCCUCCCCCUUACCCUCUCUCCCUUCUCCCCCUUCCCCCUCUCCCCGGUGGGCCCAACCUGUGACCCUGUAGAGUCUGGUAAUGGAAACCCUACCUACCUCUCUUCUCCCCAGCAAUUGACUGACAGCCACAUUUAUUUAACCAAUAGUUUUAAAUUGCGGGGCAAGGUUUAUACAGCCAGGCUGGUUUUGAGAGUUCUGGUGGCAAACAGAUCUUAGGGUACAGAACUUAGCAUUUGAAUACACAGCAGCAGCAGACCAAUCCCAAUGUCCGCUGUCCACAGCCCUUGAGCUCCAGACGUCCCUUCCACUCCAUGUAAGAGUGUUCACUGCCCUGCGCUUGUCGAAGCAACCACAACUCCUGUGAAGGUUAAAUCAAUAGUUUUUCAAAGAAUGACAGUAGAUUUUUAAGUCUCUCAGUAUCCUGGGUUUCAGGAUUCCAAACAGUCGGAAAGCAAGACUCAUAAAGACACAGUGGCUGCCCCAUCUCGAUUACUGAGGGGCAAGGCAGGAGAAGGAAUUGUUCUCCUUGUGGGGUAACUGCUGAGUCCCAGGAAGAAGUCACAGGUAGCUGGGGGACAUUUCGUGUUGUGUAACAAAUGAUUUACUUUGAAUGUAGUGAGAUAUCUCCCAGCUCAUGUCCUGAGAGAUGAUCUUUGUUAACUGGGUACCACAGGUUAGCCAGAUAGUAAUGUGUGCUUUGGGAAAAUUCCUGAGGACUGAUCUGAGCCACAUGGGCAGGCUAUAGAAAGGCCGGAGGCCAAGUCAUAUGUUCUCUCUGCCUAUAUUUCUUAUUCAUGCCAAUAGAAUGGCAUGUCCAAACUUCUUGGAAAAUACAUGAAUUGAUACUUCAAGAAGAUUCCACCCAACAUUCCUCUCUUGGUCGAUACUGCUCUGUAUUCUUCUCUGGUGAUAUAGGAAGUCCCUGGGCUUGAGUAAGUCUCCAGCACUGUAUCCCAAAACUGUACCGACAGCUCCAAACACAUCCCAGAUGAGAAAGAUAAGAAGGAAUAUUUGUUAGUGAACAAAACCAGUGAGAAGGCUUUGAACACAAAGCUCUAGACACUGAUAUGGCUUGCACCAUAAGCGUCCCUCCCCCAGGCCCUAGUGUUAAACAUUGUUUGACAACUGCCAGUCCCUGGGGAAGUGAUCGAACCAUGAGUUGCUGGCCUGGACCACAAAUGAAAUCAUGAUGGAUUCAUAAUCUGGCAGCAUUAUGGAAAGAUGUUGGGGGCUUAUUUGGAAGUGGGACUCCCCAGGCAAGGGAAUAAACUUAGCGUCCUGUGUCAUGAUCAGACAA